rnacentral:tRNA from 1 species
GUCCGCGUAGCUCAGCAGGAUAGAGCACAGGAUUCCUAUUUAAUUGGGCACUAUAAUUGGAAACAUUAUAGUGAAUCUGCUCAAAGUCGGGGAACGCUGAAAUCUGGAAAACAGAUUAUGCCAAUCCCGAGCCAAGCCUUAUGUUUUUAUAAACUAAGGAAGGUGUAGAGACUGGACGGGCAGUGCCUAACAACCUGAUUAUUCAGGUUUAGGGCAAAGGGACAGUCCAGACCACGAACGUUGCAUAAUAUAAGUGCAACGGCAGUGAAAACUGAAGUGGUAUGAAUCCUGGGGCCGUGGGUUCGAAUCCCGCCGCGGACACCA